GCGGGAGUGGCGGAACGGCAGACGCGGCGGACUCAAAAUCCGUUGCCCGAAAGGGCGUAGGGGUUCAAGUCCCCUCUCCCGCACCA
rnacentral:tRNA from 1 species